rnacentral:rRNA from 1 species
AGCGAACGCUGGCGGCAGGCCUAACACAUGCAAGUCGAACGAACUCUUCGGAGUUAGUGGCGGACGGGUGAGUAACACGUGGGAACGUGCCCUUUGGUUCGGAAUAACUCAGGGAAACUUGUGCUAAUACCGAAUGUGCCCUUCGGGGGAAAGAUUUAUCGCCAUUAGAGCGGCCCGCGUCUGAUUAGCUAGUUGGUGAGGUAACGGCUCACCAAGGCGACGAUCAGUAGCUGGUCUGAGAGGAUGACCAGCCACACUGGGACUGAGACACGGCCCAGACUCCUACGGGAGGCAGCAGUGGGGAAUCUUGCGCAAUGGGGGAAAGCCUGACGCAGCCAUGCCGGGUGAAUGAUGAAGGUCUUAGGAUUGUAAAAUUCUUUCACCGGGGACGAUAAUGACGGUACCCGGAGAAGAAGCCCCGGCUAACUUCGUG